rnacentral:rRNA from 1 species
UACGUGGAAGACUAGUGUUAUUCAUCUUUAUUAGGUUUAAAGGGUACCUAGACGGUUAAUAUAGCUAAUAAUAGUACAUAUUAACUAGAGUUUAAUAAGAGAAAGGUAGAACUUAUAGAGUAGAGAUCAAAUUCUUCAAUACUAUAAGGACAGAUAAUGGCGAAAGCAACCUUCUAUUUAAAAACUGACGUUGAGGGACGAAGGCUUGGGGAGCAAUAAGG